rnacentral:rRNA from 1 species
AAAGAAAAUAACAAUGAUUCCCCUAGUAACUGCGAGUGAAGAGGGACAAGCUCAAAUUUUAAAUCCAUCGGGUUUUACCCGAUCGAGUUGUAAUUUGAAGAGGCGUUUUCUGUGUUUCUGAUCAGUCCAAGUCCUUUGGGAUAAGGCAUCAUGGAGGGUGAGAAUCCCGUCCGGUUGAUCAGAUUCGCUUUACGAUACGCUUUCUAAGAGUCAAGUUGUUUGGGAUUGCAGCUUAAAAUGGGAGGUAAAUUUCUCCUAAGGCUAAAUAACGGCGAGAGACCGAUAGCGAACAAGUACCGUGAGGGAAAGAUGAAAAGAACUUUGAAAAGAGAGUUAAAUAGUACGUGAAAUUGUUGAAAGGGAAACGAUUGAAGCCAGUCGUACCUUCGGGUAAUCAGCCUUUUGGGUAUGAUUUUGUGGAACGUGAGGAGUUAAACGCCUUCAUGCCUGCAUAUUCGUGCACUUUGGGUGUACUUGCCCGUAUGGUUGGUUAACAUCAAUUUUGAUGGUCAUAAAAUGACUGGAGGAAUGUAGCUUCGAUCUCGUAUUGAAGUGUUAUAGCCUUCGGUAGAUGUGAUGAUCGAGAUUGAGGAUUGCAACGGAUACCCUUCGGGGCUACCUGUCUGAUCUCUGAUCGUUGCUCUGGUGCCGAAAGCUUGCUUACGGUUAUCAAAGUCGAUGGUCAAUAGGUUAGAACGGGUUAAAUU